CCUUGUGGGACUUAGCACAGAGACACCUGGACGUUAAUAGUUAUUAUGAAGCAUAAAUUUUCACUCUUCAAUAAGUUAAAAUCACUUAAUUUGUCAUUAACGAUCAAUAUCUUAAGUCAGUUGAAAGCAAAUAUUUAACAUCAUUCAGUGUUGUGUCAGGAACUUUGGGUUGUUGUGUUUGUUAGUGUGUUAUUGUAUAUAUUGUAUAUUGUAGUUGUGGAGCGGCCAUUAACUGUUCUUGACUGACAGACGAAUACUUAUUAACUGCCGAUUCUAUUGCAAAUGUUGCUCUGUUGUACCUGUUGUUCUGUUGCAACAUUUGCAGUAGAAUGUUGUAUUUGAUUUGUGAAUUAUAUUUGUAAAUGAACAACUUCAAACAUUCAAGUUGGGGAUCAUUAUUGGUUCAUUAGAGACUUGUUCGUAUUUGUGGAAGUGAAGGAGUGGUUGUUGGCCAUUGUUAAUUGACACUUCAGACUCGCAGAAUGUUAACCAAUGGGGGCGAGUUUGAGGGUGAAUGUCAACCAAUCAGCGGCCGGGUUUGGUUGGCUGCCGGGUAUAAAAGUGACGAUGUGACAAAAAGCACUUCAGUGUUGUUUUACCUCACUUUUGGUAUACAGUUCAGCCUCGUCUCUUGAGGUUGAGUUGUAUGGCUCGGGCGACCACAUCCAGGCAACAUGGAAGGCAACGAGGACUCUAUACUGAAGAACAUCUAUAUCGACUGCAUAGUGACACACUGCCUGUCACCACUUCAUAUACAGUAUUGUGACGCCAGCCUUUGAUAUUUUUUUUCCAGAAAAUGACUGUUUAAUGAAUGUUAAAGUUGUAAAAUAUUAAAAUUGAAACUAAC